CACGCCCUAAACGAUGACGACUAGUUGUUGGGGGAGUUAAAUCCCUUAGUAACGCAGCUAACGCGUGAAGUCGUCCGCCUGGGGAGUACGGUCGCAAGAUUAAAACUCAAAGGAAUUGACGGGGGCCCGCACAAGCGGUGGAUGAUGUGGUUUAAUUCGAUGCAACGCGAAAAACCUUACCUACCCUUGACAUGUCUCGAAUCCUCCAGAAAGGGAGGAGGGCACGAAAGCGAUCCAGAGCAUUCCUGCUGUAUGGCAGGCCACCUAUCGGUGUGGUGAGACA
rnacentral:rRNA from 1 species